rfam:Bacteroidetes bacterium TKL13-3, complete genome.
AUCAAUAAGUUACUAAGGGCGUAUGGGGGAUGCCUUGGCUCUCAGAGGCGAUGAAGGACGUGACUAGCUGCGAAAAGCUACGGGGAGCUGCUAAUGAGCUUUGAUCCGUAGAUGUCCGAAUGGGGAAACCCGUCUGAUUUAUCAGACUUAAAGCUAACCCACUGAACUGAAACAUCUAAGUAAGUGGAGGAAAAGAAAACAAAAGUGAUUCCCUAAGUAGUGGCGAGCGAACGGGGAAGAGUCCAAACCAGCUAUGUUUAGGCAUAUCUGGGGUUGUAGGACUGCAAUAUGUGCUGUUAAAACGAAGUUGAAGGGUCUGGAAAGUCCCAUCACAGAGGGUGAUAAUCCCGUAAACGUAAGGUUUAACACACUAGCAGUAUCCUGAGUAGCGCGGGGUCGGAGAAGCCUUGCGUGAAUCAGCCAGCACCAUCUGGUAAGACUAAAUACUACUGAGAGACCGAUAGCGAACUAGUACUGUGAAGGAAAGGUGAAAAGAAUCUUGAACAAAGAAGUUAAAAGAACCUGAAACCAUACGCUUACAAGCGGUCAGAGCCCUUUAGUGGGGUGAUGGCGUGCCUUUUGCAUAAUGAGCCUACGAGUUACUCCUCACUAGCGAGGUUAAGUCCUGAUGGGACGCAGCCGCAGCGAAAGCAAGUCUGAAUAGGGCGUAUAGUUAGUGGGGGUAGACGCGAAACCUGAGUGAUCUACCCAUGGGCAGGUUGAAGGUACCGUAACAGGUACUGGAGGACCGAACCGAUAAGCGUUGAAAAGCUUCCGGAUGACCUGUGGGUAGGGGUGAAAGGCUAAUCAAACUGGGAGAUAGCUCGUACUCCCCGAAAUGUUUUUUGGAACAGCCUCGAGUAAGAGUGUCGUAGAGGUAGAGCUACCAAUUGGGUGAGGGGGAGUCAAAUCCUACCGAGCUCAGAUGAACUCCGAAUACUACAGACAUGUUUCUCGGGAGUGAGCCCUUGGGUGCUAAGGUCCGAGGGCGAGAGGGAAAGAACCCAGACCAUCAGCUAAGGUCUCCAAAUCUAUACUAAGUUGAACUAACGUGGUCCAGUCGCAAUGACAGCUAGGAUGUUUGCUUGGAAGCAGCCAUUCAUUUAAAGAGUGCGUAACAGCUCACUAGUCGAGCGACCGGGCGUGGAUGAUAAACGGGCAUCAAGUAUAGUACCGAAGCUAUGGAUUUCUAGCAAUAGAAGUGGUAGGGGAGCAUUCUAACAGCUGCGAAGGUGUGUCGUAAGGCAUGCUGGAGCGGUUAGAAAAGCCAAUGUAGGCAUAAGUAACGAUAAGGCGGGUGAGAAACCCGCCCACCGAUAGACUAAGGUUUCCUGAUCAACGUUAAUCGGAUCAGGGUUAGUCGGACCCUAAGGCUAAGCGAUAAAGCAAAGUCGAUGGACAACAGGUUAAUAUUCCUGUACCAAUUGUAAUCUGAUGGAGAGACGCAGAAGUGAAAGUCCCGCGAACUGACGGAAUAGUUCGUUAAAGCUCGUAGAUAUAUCUUUGGUAGGCAAAUCCGCCAGAGAUGUCGAAGGUGAUAGUACCGCAAGUCUUCGGACGCGUGGAUAGUGGACCUAAUCAGGCUGUCAAGAAAAUCUUCUAAGGCUAAAUUACAAUUGACCGUACCUCAAACCGACACAGGUAGUCAAGGAGAGAAUCCUAAGGUGCUCGAGUGAUUCACGGCUAAGGAACUCGGCAAAUUAACCCUGUAACUUCGGGAAAAGGGGUGCCUCCUUCGGGAGGCCGCAGAGAAAUGGCCCAGGCGACUGUUUAUCAAAAACACAUGGCUAUGCAAAAUCGAAAGAUUACGUAUAUGGCCUGACACCUGCCCGGUGCUGGAAGGUUAAGAGGGGAUGUCAGCCGCAAGGCGAAGCAUUGAAUCGAAGCCCCAGUAAACGGCGGCCGUAACUAUAACGGUCCUAAGGUAGCGAAAUUCCUUGUCGGGUAAGUUCCGACCUGCACGAAUGGUGUAACGAUCUGGGCACUGUCUCAGCCGUGAGCUCGGUGAAAUUGUGGUAUCGGUGAAGACGCCGGUUAAUCGCAUCGGGACGGAAAGACCCCAUGCACCUUCACUAUAGCUUAGCAUUGACUUUGGGUAAAUAAUGUGUAGGAUAGGCGGGAGAUUGUGAAGCGGUGUCGCUAGGCAUCGUGGAAUCAACCUUGAAAUACCGCCCUUUAUUUACUUGGAGUCUAACCCAUACUGUGGGGACAUUGCUUGGUGGGUAGUUUGACUGGGGUGGUCGCCUCCAAAAUUGUAUCGGAGGCUUCUAAAGGUCCGCUCAGCACGCUUGGUAACCGUGCGUAGAGUGCAAUAGCAUAAGCGGGCUUGACUGUGAGGCCUACAAGCCGAGCAGGUACGAAAGUAGAGUAUAGUGAUCCGGUGGUUCUGUAUGGAAGGGCCAUCGCUCAUAGGAUAAAAGGUACGCUGGGGAUAACAGGCUGAUCUCCCCCAAGAGCUCAUAUCGACGGGGAGGUUUGGCACCUCGAUGUCGGCUCGUCACAUCCUGGGGCUGGAGAAGGUCCCAAGGGUUGAGCUGUUCGCUCAUUAAAGUGGCACGCGAGCUGGGUUCAGAACGUCGUGAGACAGUUCGGUCCCUAUCUGAUGUGAUCGUUGGAAGUUUGAGAGGAUCUGACCUUAGUACGAGAGGACCGGGUCGGACGUACCUCUGGUGUAUCUGUUGUGGCGCCAGCUGCAUUGCAGAGUAGCUACGUACGGACAAGAUAAGCGCUGAAAGCAUCUAAGCACGAAACUUACCUCAAGAUGAGACUUCCUUUAAGGGCCGUAGAAGACUACUACGUUGAUAGGCUACAGAUGUAAAGACAGUAAUGUCAUAGUCGAGUAGUACUAAUUACCCGUAAACUUAGAUUU